AAUGAACCCAAGGGCAGAUUUUGACACUU
rnacentral:sRNA from 16 species